rnacentral:rRNA from 1 species
GGCCUGCGCGGAAGAUGUAACGGGGCUAAACCAUGCACCGAAGCUGCGGCAGCGAACGUAUCACCCAAGACAACUUUGCGGAGUUGACGAUUGACGGAGCGAAGCGACGUCAAAGCGUUCAUUAAAGUCGAGUUGGCUUAGGGAUACGUUCGUUGGGUAGGGGAGCGUUCUGUAAGCCUGUGAAGGUGGCCUGUGAGGGUUGCUGG